AAAUUGCGAUUUACGAUAUAUGACGUUUUAAAAAAACUACUUACUAGAUCUCGUUCAAACCAAUUUUCGGUGGAAGUUUGCAUGGUAAUGUACAUCAUAUAUUUUUUUAGAUUUAUCAUUCUCUUAUUUUAGAAGUUACAGGGGGGGGGACACACAUUUUACCACUUUGGAAGUGUCUCUAGCGCAAACUAUUCAGUUUAGAAAAAAAUGAUAGCAGAAACCUCAAUAUCAUUUUUGAAGACCUAUCCAUAGACACCCAACACAAUUUUUUGAGUUUCAGUUCUAAGUAUGGGGAGCCCCCAAAA